GAAAUGCGAUAAGUAAUGUGAAUUGCAGAAUUCAGUGAAUCAUCGAAUCUUUGAACGCACAUUGCGCCCUGUGGUAUUCCGCAGGGCAUGCCUGUUCGAGCGUCAUUACAACCACUCAAGCCUGGCUUGGUCUUGGGGUUUGCGGUUCCGCAGCCCCUAAAAUCAGUGGCGGUGCCGGUGUGGCUCUACGCGUAGUAAUUCUUCUCGCGAUGGAGUUCCCCUGGAUACCUGCCAGAACCCCCCAAUUUUACAGGUUGACCUCGGAUCAGGUAGGGAUACCCGCUGAACUUAA
rnacentral:misc_RNA from 1 species